GAUGAACGCUGGCGGCGUGCCUAAUACAUGCAAGUCGAGCGAACAGACGAGGAGCUUGCUCCUCUGACGUUAGCGGCGGACGGGUGAGUAACACGUGGAUAACCUACCUAUAAGACUGGGAUAACUUCGGGAAACCGGAGCUAAUACCAGAUAAUAUAUUGAACCGCAUGGUUCAAUAGUGAAAGACGGUUUUGCUGUCACUUAUAGAUGGAUCCGCGCCGCAUUAGCUAGUUGGUAAGGUAACGGCUUACCAAGGCAACGAUGCGUAGCCGACCUGAGAGGGGGAUCGGCCACACUGGAACUGAGACACGGUCCAGACUCCUACGGGAGGCAGCAGUAGGGAAUCUUCCGCAAUGGGCGAAAGCCUGACGGAGCAACGCCGCGUGAGUGAUGAAGGUCUUCGGAUCGUAAAACUCUGUUAUUAGGGAAGAACAAAUGUGUAAGUAACGAUGCACGUCUUGACGGGACCUAAUCAGAAAGCCACGGCGAACUACGU
rnacentral:rRNA from 1 species